rnacentral:rRNA from 1 species
AUUCCUACGGGAGGCAGCAGUGAGGAAUUUUGCGCAAUGGCCGCAAGGCUGACGCAGCAACGCCGCGUGGGUGAUGAAGGCCUUCGGGUCGUAAAGCCCUGUCAGGUGGGAAGAAAGGCCUGGAGAGGAAAGGUUUCAGGUUUGACGGUACCACCAGAGGAAGCACCGGCUAACUCCGUGCCAGCAGCCGCGGUAAUACGGAGGGUGCGAGCGUUAUUCGGAAUUACUGGGCGUAAAGCGCGUGUAGGCGGGGGGACAAGUCUGAUGUGAAAGCCCUGGGCUUAACCUGGGAAGCGCAUUGGAAACUGUUUUUCUUGAGUACUGGAGAGGAAGGGGGAAUUCCCGGUGUAGAGGUGAAAUUCGUAGAGAUCGGGAGGAAUACCAGUGGCGUAGGCGCCCUUCUGGACGGUAACUGACGCUGAGACGCGAAAGCGUGGGGAGCAAACAGGAUUAGAUACCCUGGUAGUCCACGCUGUAAACGAUGAUCACUAGGUGUAGCGGGUACUCAUUCCUGCUGUGCCGCAGCUAACGCGUUAAGUGAUCCGCCUGGGGAUUACGGUCGCAAGACUAAAACUCAAAUGAAUUGACGGAAU